ensembl:snoRNA Y102A11A.17 ncRNA
GUAUCGAGCCUGCUUACAUAGUCAGAAGCACAGUGGUCGUAUUUGUAUUUACAUAUUGGCUUAAGUUGUCUAUUUGGAUUAUAGUUUUGUUAACAUAUGUCUUCUUCAGCACUGGCACUGGCCUUAAUAUUGUUAACUAGCUCAUUAACAGGGAAUAGCGCCAGUGAGGAUUUUGCCUGAAUACACCAAAUGACAUAAUAAAACACUU